rnacentral:ncRNA from 1 species
CUCAGUAACGGCGAGUGAAGCGGUAACAGCUCAAAUUUGAAAUCUGCCGCAAGGCCGAGUUGUAAUUUGUAGAAGAUGCUUUGGGUAUGGCCCCGGUCUAAGUUCGUUGGAACACGACGUCAUAGAGGGUGAGAAUCCCGUAUGUGACUGGGUGCUUUUGCCUAUGUAAAGCUCUUUCGACGAGUCGAGUUGUUUGGGAAUGCAGCUCAAAAUGGGUGGUAUAUUUCAUCUAAAGCUAAAUAUUGGCCAGAGACCGAUAGCGCACAAGUAGAGUGAUCGAAAGAUGAAAAGCACUUUGGAAAGAGAGUUAAACAGUACGUGAAAUUGUUGAAAGGGAAGCGCUUGCAACCAGACUUGCACGCUGUUGAUCAUCCAGGCUUCUGUCUGGUGCACUCGGCAGCGUUCAGGCCAGCAUCGGUUCUGGUGGUGGGAUAAAGGCCUUGGGAAUGUAGCUUCUUUCGGGGAGUGUUAUAGCCCUCGGUGCAAUGCCGCCUACCGGGACCGAGGACCGCGCUUCGGCUAGGAUGCUGGCGUAAUGGUUGUAAGCGACCCGUCUUGAAACACGGACCAAGGAGUCUAACAUCUAUGCGAGUGUUUGGGUGUUAAACCCAUACGCGUAAUUAACGUGAACGGAGGUGAGAACCCUUAAGGGUGCAUCAUCGACCGGUCCUGAAGUCUUCGGAUGGAUCUGAGUAAGAGCAUAGCUGUUGGGACCCGAAAGAUGGUGAACUAUGCCUGAAUAGGGUGAAGCCAGAGGAAACUCUGGUGGAGGCUCGCAGCGGUUCUGACGUGCAAAUCGAUCGUCAAAUUUGGGUAUAGGGGCGAAAGACUAAUCGAACCAUUAACUACUAGGUGGUUAAGAGGUCGCCCAAACGGCGGCCUAGUCCUCACGGGCUAUAUGAUCAAAUUGCGGGGACGUCCUGUCAACUGCUCAGCUACCGCAGCUCGCCUGAAAGGGCAGUGCGCACCCGGUUAACGACCGCGGGGAUGGUAACAACGCUGAGCUAGGGAUAAUCCGCAGCCAACCCCUACGGGCAAGCCGCCUACGGGGACAGUUCACAGACUGAAUGGUCAUAGGCUCUCGCUACGAGAGUUUAAGGUACAGUCGAUCCGCCGCGAGAGCGUCGGCA